GUGACCUCAAGGAAAAUGUUCUUCAGAUGACAGAUGUCUUAUUUUUUGUAUGGGGAGGGGAAAUAAUCAGGACAAAUUAGUCAAAAAGAGGGUAAUACAAGUAUACAGUAUUCACUGUCCCCUGAAGUGAUGGACACUUCAGGGGACAUCUAUCUAUCAUAGAAUCCUACAGUUAGAGGGGACCCCAAAGACCAUCCAGAUUAACCCCCAUAUGCAUGUAUACAUCUAUGUAUGUAUCUAUUGCUGUCUAUCUAUUAGGGUUGUAUGUUUUCUGGGCUGUAUGGCCAUGUUAUAGAAGUAUUCUCUCCUGACGUUUUGCCCACAUCUAUGGCAGGCAUCCUCAGAGGUUGUGAGGUAUAGAUGUGGGCGAAACGUAAGGAGAGAAUACUUCUAGAACAUGGCCAUACAGCCCGGAAAACAUACAACAACCCUGUGAUCCCGGCCAUGAAAGCCUUCAACAACAUAUCUAUUUAAUAUUUGGGAAUGUGGAAAACUUAAGUUUUUGAAUGAGCUUCAGUGUAUGAAAAUAUGCCCAAAAAGUGUUAGUUUUUUAAAAAGUGGAGCAACAUUAUUCCUUUUCCUGUUGAGUUUAUUUGGGAGGUGCCAUUUGGUUUAGCUGAGGCCUGGGACAACUUCGGCCCUCCAGGUGUUUUGGACUUCAGCUCCCACAAUUAACAACCACUAGGAAUUACCCUACAUGCAUCAAGGGAACCGUUGACUGCAUAGAGAAGCUGAUGAGUUCUUUCUCCCACCCUGGACUUUCCACAGAUAGAUAAAUCCCACAACUUCUGGGGGUGCGUGCCAUAGAUGUGGGUGAAACGUCAGGAGAGAAUGCUUCUGGAACAUGGCCAUACAGCCCAGAAACGCACAGCAACCCAGCCGGUUGGCUUUAGAAAUUGUGGGAGUUGAAGUCCAAAACACUUGGAGGGCCCAAGUUUGUCCAGGCCUGGUUUAGGCAAAAAGGUUGACCGGAUUUGAAUUUAUGCCACCUUCCAUUAUAGUCUUUUAACAAAUACACCACAUUUAUUACAAUUAUCAAUUAAUUUGGUUAAUGGUUAAUAAGGCUGGCUUCAGAAAUAUGAAUAUAGUGUACCUGGAUUUGGUGAUAAAUAUAUGGGGACAAGACAUACCUUAUGAAAAUCUAUCAUUUUUUUAAAAUAUGUGAUUUGUUGCUUCUUUUACAUAAACUCAGAGGUUUCUCGUUACAGCUGACAUGCUAAAGCAGAGCUUUCCAAACCAUGUUUUGUGUGAACAUAAUGAGAAACCUCUGAGUCUAAGCGAAAUAACCAAUGGGAGAUAUUGUGUCCACAUACAUUUCGUUAUUACAGUUUAUGUUUGUGUCUGUAUCUCAUAUAAGAGGGUGGUCUAACCUCCGGUUGGCUAGUAAAACUGAAUUAAUGUGUGGUGAAAUUAUAUAUCUCUAAAAAUGUUUCACUAACAUGGAAUGUUUGGAAAGCUCUGCCUUAGACUGCUAAGGCGGGGAGGGGGGGGUUCCUUGAUGGCGGCAGAGAGGAGGAAGGUGGAGUUAUGCAAACACUACUUGCCUAGUUUCCAACAGACCUCACAACCCCUGAGGAUGCUUGCCAUAGAUGUGGGUGAAAUAUCAGGAGAGAAUGCUUCUGGGACAUGGCCAUACAGCCCGGAAAACCCACAACAACCCAGUGAUUCUGGCCACAAAAGCCUUCAACAACACUAUAAAUGUUUAUGUUUUCAAUAUAAACCUUCCAGUUUUUUAAAUCCAGGAGAUGGACUUCUGGCCACUUACAAGUCGUUGUUGUUGGGAGGUGUUUAUUAUUGUCGUGACAAUUUGGAAAGCUCUGGUUGGUCUACAUUCUUUAAAAACAAGACUUGUGUUAAGUUUUGCACAAAGCAUGUGCCUUGUUUCCGCACAAAAAAUGGAACUGCAUUGCUGAAUUUGACACAGACACAGGAUGGGGGCCUGUGGCUUAUCCAUGCCACCUAUAGUGUUCUUUGCUAACAUUUUCAACCAUUUUCUCCAACAAGUCUGAGAUGUAGUUAUCUGGUGAAAUAGUUCAAUUUGCUGGCUUUUAUUAGAAGUAGUUUCUGGUCUCUCUCACUUUCUCUCACAUACAAAAUCUGCUUUCUUAAGGUGCCUUCUUUCUUCAGCUUUCUUUGACUUUUCUCUCUGUUUACCAGGCUGUUGCUUCUUCCCAGACAAUUUGCCACACAUUUCUCUCUGGUUCCAUUGUUGCUCCUCAGUUUAAUGUAAGAAAUAUUAAUAAAAUAUGUCAUAUUUCAGAUUCUGAUCAGGCACCGCAUAUAAUCAAAGUGGCAGAUCCACAUUUUAAAAAUCAGCACAUCUGCCCUAGAUUGAAUUAAUGAAUGAAUGAAGCUUUUUUAAUAUCCUGCCCCAUCUCCCAAAAGGACUCGGAGCGGUUUACAACAAAACAAUAGCAUAAAUAAUAAUAAAAAACAUAACAAGUCAAACAAUUUAAAUCACCAAAAAAAAAAAACAAGUCAUAAUAAAUAAAAUGGAAUGUAAGUUAAUGUCACAAUCAAUAUAAAACUAUGUGAAAGUUUUACUUUAUUUUUUACUUUAUUUGAUGCACUUUACUUUAUCCAUCAGUUAGAAAUAGCCCCAUUGUCCAUCCUGUUCCAAGUCUCUUAGUGAUUAUAGCACUUUAGUCAUCUACCUCAUUCUCUGUGUUCAGAACACUCAUUCUGUGCACUUUGGCCCAGUUCGUUUUUAUGACUUUUAUUCUGGUGCCUAAAUUAUGGUUAACUAUACCAUGGUCACCAUUUUAAUUCUAACUAUGUUAAUGUGUAUAAUUUUGUACUUUUAUUUUGAUGUGUUUUUAUUCUGUUUAUUUUAAUUACCCGAGCUUGGCCCCGUGUAAGCCGCCCCGAGUCCCUUCGGGGAGAUGGAGGCGCGGUACAAAAAUAAAGUUAUUAUUAUUAUUAUUAUUAUUAAAGUUAAGCAUAUAAAAUAUAAAACAUAUAAACAUUAAAAUUAGUAAACAUGUGACCUCUUCUUGCGAGUUUGAGCACUAGGGUCAAUUAAAAUUCCAUUUAACUCCAAUGGUUAAACAUAUGGUUAGACUGACUCUAGAUAGAGCCAUAUUUAAACCCACUGGAUGCAACAGAACUUUUUAAAAUUAAUCUUUAUUCAAAAAUAAAAAAUAGUAAAAACAAAACAAUGCAAUUUUUCCCUAUAAUAUAUAAAACUACUACAUUUAACACAACUAUAUCUAAUACUGGUCCAUGCGGUCAUGAAGAGUCGGAGACGACUAAACGACUGAGCAGCAGCAUAUCUAAUGCAGUCACCCUAACAGAAAACAUUCCUACACUAAUAAACACAUAUUUACACACAGCUAUUGGGACUAUUCUAUGAACCUGACACUCAUUGUCUGUUAAAUUUUACUUACUUUCCUAUUCACUUUAGAUAACACUAUUAUGUCCACACUUAUUCUUUUAGUAGCACUGCUCUAAUUCAUAAAUCCAAUAGUUGAUUUUUCCCACUUUUGCUGUAGAAAAAUGAUAAACAAGUUCCAUUUUUAAAAAAAAGUUAGUCAGGGAUUUCUCCUUAAUCAGCACUAUCUCAGAGAAUUCACAAAUCUUCGUCAGCCAUUCUUUUUGUAUUGGGAUGACUGGGUGACAAUGGAACGUAAUGUCGUCAUAGCUUAGUUUUCAAUGGGUCAGAAUAUGGUUUAUGACGUGAUCCAACCCACUGGCUAAUAUGCUUUUGGACAUUGCCACAUUGGAAAAGCCAUUAAGUAAUGCCUGUUGUUAUUAUUUGCAAUCAAACUACUGGUAUAGGAGCCUCAACAAAAUCCAUAGAAGAGGUUAGAAACAUAAGAUGCCAUCAAUUUUAAACGCUAUAACUCACACUUUUCAUAAAUGUAUUCUACAGUUACAAACCCAGAGGGUAACUGAUUGAGUUUGGUGAGCUACCUGCUUGUGGUGCCUGCAGAGAGUGAGAUUUAUCACUUUAAAAUGAAGUUGCAUUCUGCAGGAGCUCGUUGAAUUGUAGCACUGUCUAGCGCUGAAAAGGGAAACCUUAUUUUAUAACAACUUCCUUUGUAUUGUGCAGGAGUUUAAGCCUAGUGUUCACUGCAGAAAAAAUGACACUGUCCAAAGAGCUUUAUAUAGAAAUACAACUUGAAUUUUUCUGCAUUUUCCUGAGCCUAUGUACAUUUUUGUUUCUUAUUUAGAUUAUGUUUCAUCUACUGAACUGAAUGGAACUCAGGGACUCAUAACUGUUCAAGACUUGAGCCUUGAUUGCUGAUUACAGCCAAAGAGUAUGAUGGCAAGGAAAGAGAUGGUUUCAUCUGGCUUUUCUACCAGCACUGACUAAAGAACUGCCUAUCAAGUACUGCCAGCACUUAGAUCCAUUAAUGAAGUCAACAAUGUGCCUUCAGGGUAUAUGAAGAAUUCUCACAUGGAAGAUGGAGCAAGCUUGUUUUCUGCUGUUCCACAGAACGGAAAUCAAUGGAUUCAAAUUUUAAGAAAUAUAAUUCCAGCUUCUUGAUGAGAUUAUAACUGGAACACACAUGGCCAAGCAACAUCAGAGUGUGUCAAGAUGGCAAAAUGAUUAAUAAGGAAGACUAGACAAGCUAAGAAAGGGUAGAGCAGUUUGCUUUUUCUUGUGCCUACUGGGACAGGACAGACACUUUGACCUUCCUGCUAUCUUACCGGCUCUUUUCUUGGAUGGCUCUAUCAAAUGAAGACCGGGUUCUCAUGAAUGCAAAGUUCACUGGCCUCACAUGGACUGUUUCCUGAUCAUUUACACUGUUGUUUCAUCUUCCAUUCUGCUGCACUUUGUCAGGACUCUUUUGGAGGUUUUAUCAGUCCACUUGGAAGAUGUCAUUGCCCUAAAUAACUCAGUGUCAUUUAAAUCAGUUUGAAGUUUGCAGCAUUCUUGUAUUGCAGCCACAUGUAAAAUAAGCCAAAGGACUAUUUUUCUUUAGCAAUAAAAACAUAAGGCUGCAGAUCAGUAUGGCACAGGAUAUUCUAGCUAGAUUUCAAGCACAUUCUGAAAUUCCUAAAAACUUCAUCCCACUGAGUUUAUCAACUGCUAAAAUGUAUAACAACUGGGAAGUAUUCUUUUAGUUUUGGUAUUAGACAUCCUUUCUCUUUUAAGAACACAGAACUUUUUAAAAAUGAAAUUUGAUCUGUUGUUAUGGCAUAUUCAAAUUCUUAAAUAUAUGUCCUUAUAGACAGAAUAAAAACCUGCCUGGCACAA